rnacentral:lncRNA from 1 species
UGGAACAAGAGCAAUGUUUAAACUGUGGAAGCUCAUGCUCAACUGUUUCUGCACAACAACAGUCAAAUGUCACUACUCAACAAUUCAGCUUUCAGUAUACAAAAGGUGCACCCAAUUGGAAGAUGUCAACACACUGAUCAGCUACAGCAUGGGAAUGCUGUAAUACUUGGUCAUCUAAGUGUAAGGUUACACAUGAUCUGCUACUUGGUUAGGACUUAGUAGUCUUGAAAUAACAACAUGAGUACAUAUGUUCACACCAAAUGUUAAAAACUACUACCUCAUGCUCGUAUUGAUUAAGCACAUUAGAGUGUUUUACCAUUUUCCAAUGGUAAUAGUAUGCAUGCAUGCUCAACCUGGAGAUGAGAGAAUAUUAUAUUGGCCUUACAUCAAAAAGCAUGCAGUACUGCAGUCGGUAUGCAAUCAUCUUACAACAGCAAACGUGGAAAACAUCUUGCCAUUACUGCUUCUAUUACAAUUGCUAUAGUUUUGUCAACAAACACAACAUAGAGUUACCAACAGGGGAGAUCUCUAACUACAAAAGAGGCAAAAAACAGAAGAUCAAGCUUCCUAGUUUUUGCACAACAACUGUUAGCUACUUUUGCUCAAGAAGACAGGUUUCAAUGUACAACAGAAGACCAUAUUUGGAAGAUAUAAUCAAAUAGUUCAGCACUUCAUGGGACUGUUCUGCUGCAUUGUAUCACAUAAUUAUAAGGAUGCACAUCUAAGCAGCCUUGAGGUUUCACAUGACAUGCUACAUCUACUGCUGGAAUAUUACUACAGUAUAGUGAUCUAUCAUUGUCCAGUGGUAUUAGUGUGCGCGCAUGCUCAAUCCGGAGUUGAGAGAACACUAUAUUGUCCUCAUAUUUCAAGCAUACAGUACUGUCACUUUGCUAAAUUCAUCAACUGCAUGACCAGUCCUCAUCGAAGAUGUGCAGGCCCAAAAUGAAGAUGUCCAAAUUGAUCUGCUUGACAAUUAAUGGAUUUACAUACCUAUUCCUCUGGAUUGCAACAAAUGGCGCCGGCCGCCGGGUGAGAGCUUUGGAGGUGCUACAAAGAAUUAUUUGCAACUAGAAUGUGAAUUCAUUGUCGUCGGCAACAAUUGGAUGUUUUAAAUUAAUAGUUGUGUACCUUUCAAUUUUUAAUUGUAUUUGGUAGCAAGAGCCAUUAGAUGCCUUUGUUUCUGUAUUUACUUGAAC